rnacentral:rRNA from 1 species
GACGAACCGUGCAAACGUUGUUCGGAAUCACUGGGCUUAAAGGGCGCGUAGGCGGGCAAGCAAGUCGAAGGUGAAAUCCCACGGCUCAACCGUGGAAGUGCCCCCGAUACUGCUUGUCUUGAGGGAGAUAGGGGCGUGCGGAACUUCCGGUGGAGCGGUGAAAUGCGCAGAUAUCGGGAAGAACACCCGUGGCGAAGGCGGCUCUCUGGGACGGUACUGACGCUGAGACGCGAAAGCGUGGGGAGCGAACAGG